rnacentral:lncRNA from 1 species
AGAGGGGUUGCUCUGAUGGUAAGCAACCCCCACUUCCAACCGAGAGGUUGUGAGUUCGAGUGAAGUUUUUAGAGGGAGGGAUGCCGAGGGUCUAUUUGGAAACAGCCUCUCUACCUAAGGGUAGAUGUAAGGUCUGCGUACACACUACCCUCCCCAGACCCCACUAAGUGGGAUUAUACUGGGUUGUUUCUACCCAAGGGUAGGGGUAAGGUCUGCGUACACACUACCCUCCCCAGACCCCGCUAAGUGGGAUUAUACUCGGUUGUUGUUGUUGUAUUUUACAUUUGAUGUUGAAAUUAGUUAUUGUAAUUGCAAUUUUAUUGAACUAAAUUCAUAUACAUUUGAUAUAUUCUUAAUUUCCCAAAAAUUUUGCGCUGCACUACAAAGAGGCAUGCGCUUUUCUUCUCACUAUACAAUCAAGCUCCAUGGAAAUUAUCGCUUUUUUUUUUUGCGCUUUUUGCUUUUAAUAACAAUGGUCUUUCCUUAAAUAUGGUAGUUAGACCUUGAAAUAGGAUAGUUGAUGAUGCCUAAGCAUUAUUUGGUACACAACUUGAUGUAUUCUUUUCUAUUUUUCAACCAAUUGAGUUCCUUCAAGUAAUUUGUUGCAUGAAAUCAUGAACAAAGUCAUGCUGGAUAUGUAUUGGAUUAACUAUACAGAAUUUGGAGUAACUCCAGGUCAACCAUCAAGUGGAAAAUGAAUCUUAGAGCUUAGAGCAUCCAACAAUUUUAAGAUUCUAAUGCUAAAUACAGCUAUAAAAUUUAUUCCCGUAUGUCAGCCAUUCAAUUACUGGAACUAAAAAAAAUAUUCAAAGAAGUAUUACACCCCCCGCCCCAAGAUAAAAAAAUUUGGUUAGCACCAGAAAAAAGAAAUUAAAGAUAAAAGACAGAAAAAGGCAAAUAGAGAUUUAACUUGCCUCAGUUCUGACGACCCAUGAUGAUUUUGAAACGGAAAGGAGCGGAGGCAGCUUUGGAUUUGAAGAGUGGUUGCCGUUACUUGAAUUUGGGGCUUCCCCUCCAAUGGCGUUAAUGAAACAAGUCAAUCUUAUCACUCCCAUAUUCUGAGACAAAUGUUCCUGAUCUUGUUUAAGUGAUUCAGUAUAAAGAAAGAAAUAAAAUUAGAUUAUAUUUAGUUGACACCUUGAUGUUUCAAAAUAUGGCAUUUAACUCCCUUGUUCAAGUGAUUCAGUAUAAAGAAAGAAAUAAAAUUAGAUUAUAUUUAGUUGACACCUUGAGGUUUCAAAAUAUGGCAUUUAACUCCCCAUCUAAUUUGAGAACUGCAGUAGUUAGCUAAGGGUGUUCGUCAGCCUAAGGGUGUUCGUCAGCCGAUACCCCACGGUAUUUAGAUAUUUCUGUUCGGUAUUUUUAGUAUUCAAUUUCUUAAAAUGCGAUAUCAAUACCGUACCUAAUUAUUUUUGUGGCUUUUUUCAUUUCAGUUUCGAUCUAUUCGGUACGGUAAUUUCAGUUUCAAUAUUAACUAGUACAUAAAGUCAUAGGCUAUAAUAGACUUAAUUAAAGUACACACAAAUAUAAAAAUAAAUAAGGUUCUAAGUUCAAUAAAUUAUCCAAAACUAGCAAAUAUCAACCCAUAGAGAGAAAAAGGUACAUAAAAAAGUAAAUUUAAUCAUUGAAAAUAUUUUGUUACUUGCUUGGAGCUAAUUGCUAAGUUAGAAAAUACAAUAAGGACUAAUCCAAUAGAUGCAAUUUAAUACACGAGAAGAAAUACCUUAAGACCGUAAAAUUAUUACGCUAAGAUGAUUGAGCUACAUUAUUCCACCAUUUUCCUAAAGAAGCACAGGGUUUUUCAGAUCAGGCUAAUUUCUUUCCUACCUCGCUCUUGUUUUUUCGUUUGAUUUUAUUUCCCUAGCCGAAGCAAGCCGAAGAAAAUAAAUGUUCAAGUAGCACGGAAGAUGCAUCAGGAUGGUCUUUUAUUUUGCGCACACCUAUCCUAGACGGAUCCAAAUCCCGUGUUGAGUCCCCGAAGUCAAAUGCACGUGAUAUAAACAAAUGUUCCUACUAAAGAUCUACUAUGAGGCUAUGUUAUUCUAAGUUUAAACUUGGGGGUGUGUUCUAGACAUCAUACAUGGUUUACCCAAGCAGAGAUGGGGGCAAUGUAUAUCACAAAAAUCUACCCGGCCUAGUUGUUGAUCCAACCUCGUUUUAUGUGGUAUGAAUUCUAACAUAAAAGUAGGCCACGCGUUCGUGUGCACCAUAUUUUUUGAAGACUCAAAAGGGGGGCGUAAGAAGACAGUAUAACAUAAUUCAAAUAAUAUAAAAGGUGUAAAUAAGCGAUAAUUAGCACAUUAGGCCCACAAACAUAGUAAUAUGAACAAACAGUAAUGCCAAGUAAAAUUACAUUAACAAGCUCGAAUUAUGAACCCUGAACCAGAGAUUCCAGGAUUGAUCUCCAAUGGAGUCGAAAAAGCUAUCACACCUCUUUAUUCCUAAGGGCAUAGGGAGAUUUUCCAAUUAAAGUGAAUUAUUCGAAAUGAGAUUAUUUAUUGGUUCAAAGUAACCACUUGAAAUAAUUUAUGGUGUCCCAAGUCACGAUUUAUUUUAAAUCCCAAAUCGAGGAAGUUUGACUCUUAUUUAUAGUCUGUGAACACAGAAGAGCGGAUAAGGAAUUCUAUUAGUUCGGGAGAAGGUAUGAGGCAUUCCCAAGUUUCAUUGUAUUAGCAUAGUCGCUUUAAUCAUAUCUAGCUUAAUUAAUUGUUUAAUUUCUCAUUUUAUAACCUAUGUAUAUUUUUAUCUUUUACCGAUUAUAAUUAUGGCGUUUAAGGAAUUAAUCUUGAAAAUCAUAACUAUGUCAUGAGAACGUGUAUAUAAUCAUGAUAAUAAGUUAAGUCGCGCCUAAAAGCAUUUCUAGAAGUAUUUAACUCCACCUAGCCUAGCCAGAAAAAUAAAUUAGAUAAAAUGAAUUGAAAAAGAAAAGGAAUACGUAGGUUGAUUCCAAGAUGUAUGAUUGAAUCAAAGUGAUUUUUAUUUCAUUCAAGUACUGGAUCUCCUGUCUCAUCUCAAUUAACGCUGGAAAGAAUGCCCACCAAGUUCAGAUAAGGAAAUGCUUUCCCCAACCAUUAAAGGAAAGGCUCGACGAAGGGAGGGAGGUGGGGCCACCGAAUCGAAUUGGGUCCAUGAACGUAAGAAAUGGUUAGAAUUCUUGAUCUUUCUUAACAUCUCUCUCAAUUCGAAAAUCCAGAAAUUGAAUUGAUAUCACUAUGUCAUAAGAAAGUGUAUAUAAUCAUGAUAAUAAGUUAACUCGCGCCUAAAAAGCAUUUCUACAAGUAUUUAUUUAUUUUAGUUGUCCUCAGAAUGAUUACAUUAUGGACAAACACUCUAGGCAAAGUGACGGUUUGAAAAUGAAAAUCAAUUGUAAUUGAUUGAGUUAAACUAUUGAAUCGAACUACAAUGUCAUGAAGUAAACAAACAUUAUAUGUGGUGUUAAUGUUACGGAUGAUUUGAAGUACAAAAAAUAAUAGACUUGAUCACCAAAAUUUCAUAACUUAUUACUAAAUACAUUGGUUAAUAACAAUAACAGCGUUAUGGGAUUAGUUGUAUUUAAAUAAGGGAUUUUUACCUAUCUAUACCAUAUAGCAAAUUUUAUUACCAAAAAUGUUUACCAAUUGGUAUUUACCCGUAUUGUCCACAUUAUCCCUACAAAAUAUAUACCAAGCCCAUAAACAGCGAGAUUCUACCAAAAAACGCGCGAGAUUAUAGGGGGAGGAUUUGUGUGUGAUCCUAUCAACAUUUAAUUCGAAAUUUGAAACGGAAGUAAAUCUGUAGCCGCGUAAAUCUCUCUCUCCAUAUAUUUUCCACUAUUAAUAGCUAUUAAAAGCUUGAAAGCUUUGAAUUCAAAUUUGAAUUUUCAAAAAUCAUUAUUUGUUUGGAUUUGGNNNNNNNNNNNNNNNNNNNNNNNNNNNNNNNNNNNNNNNNNNNNNNNNNNNNNNNNNNNNNUAUUUGUUUGGAUUUGGUGUUGUUGUAAAUAAUUCGGAAUAUGUUUAGGAGUUUAUAUCUCAAUUUUGAGGGGUUUUGGUGAAGAUUAUACUUGGUUUUUACUGAAUUUCAGAUUGAAACUCGUUGAAGAAGAAGAAGAAGACAUAUUUUCAGAAAUUGUAGUUAAAUUAUAAAAUUGUAGAUAAAUUGUAGCUGCAAUGUAGAUAAAUUAUAGAUCGGAAAGACUAAAACUUCUACAAAUCUUCUACAAUUAUGUCGAAAAUGCCAAUUAUGCUACAAUUGAAAUGGGGAUUGGGGUAUUAAGAUUCAAUGUAUUCAGUUUGUAGAAAUCUUGCAGAUAAAAUUUAUGUAAAUAAAAUACAAAUCAGUUUAAUUAUUGUAUAAAGUUGUAUUGUUUUUAAGAGUAUCUACAAAAUUACUACAUUUAAACUACAAUAUUGUGUCAUAAAAACUGUUGACAACAAAAUUUGGUUUUCAUCUACAAAUUUCUACAUACAAACUACAAGAACUAUAGUACAUACCUUUAAUAAAAUUAAUAGUAAGAAAUGUUUAAUCUUGUGUUUAGAGAACUGAACACAUUUCUUUUUUUGGUUUUUCAUAAAAUUAAAUUGCCAUGGAAUUAACUGAAGGUAAAUUGGAUUGGCAACGGAAUAGUACCGGAUUGAGGUCCGAAAGGAUAACUAGUUUAACAAGAUAGAAAAUUUGGUUUUGAGCAUUACACAUUUAUUAAGGGAUAAACUGACUUCUCCAUAGAAUUAAUUUACAUGAAUGGCGUAUUCAUGAAAUCGACCAAUCAACUAUGUAUCAACCCCAAACUAAUCGGAUUUGGCUAUAUAAAUUUGUUGUAAUGUGGGGGUGUGGGGGUGGGAGGAGAGAGAGGUAGAUAAACUAAUUGGAGAAUAUAUGCUCCUAAAAUCAUGCCUAGAAUAAAUGAAGCAAUAAUUAUACCCUUAAUUUGAAUUAUGAUAUAUAAAUUGAAAUUUGAUAUGUUUAAAUGUAAUAAACACAAACCUUAAACAUGAGAGGUAAUAUGGUUUGCUAUAUAUACAUAUAUAAAAAUCCCUAAUAUUAUUCUCUAAACCUAAGCAUUCAAAUCUAAUGAAGCCUAGUGCAGUAUAUCAAGGAUCUAUUUUACCAAGUAAAUAAACUUAUUGCAACAUGAUUUCAACUAAAAAUAUUCAAACAAUAAGCAAAAGAAAUGUACUUAAUCAAAACAUCUAUAAAGAAAGAGAAAAGACUUAGGACAUUUACAGCAAAAACAUUAAUUCGUUAGUACGUGCUAAACAAACAAAGAACAUCUAAAAUUCUAAUUGCUAAAAAUUCACAGUCCACCACAAAUUCCCAACUAAUCACAUGGCCAUCACUAUUUAAUUUUGAACUUAAUCAAACUAAACAAAUCACUUAAUAGUCACAUAAUUAAUUCAAAUUAUAACUCUAUACAUCAAAUCUAAUUAGCAAAUCCAAACAGAGAAAAUAUCUACCCGACUAUAGGAAUAGGCAUAGCAUAUAACAAAAGUCAUUCUUCACAACAGAUCUACUAUUAUACUGAAAAAAAUAGAUUAAAAAUGGACCUUUUGAUUAGCUUUCAAUGUUUGCAAGAGCUUCCAACCAAUAUACAAAGAGGAGCCUCUGACGAAGCUGGGAGCGUACGGUCCCGCCAACUGAAAGCCACGCCGGAACCUCGAUGUCAAAUCGAAUUUGGCUCAAACCCAAUUACAUGCUGCCUUGGGGAAAAAUUACGAUGGUUUUAAUGGUGCUUAUAGUUGUAUUUUCCAGCUGGGUUCGGCUGUGAAAUAUUUCUAUUUUGGAGCUAGUUUGGAGGUGAAUUUCAUGGCUGGUUUGGGGAGGAGAGUUGUUGCAUUUUCGCAGCAGCUUUUGAGAUGAAUAUUGGUGUUGAUGGAGGUGGAUUUUGAGGCAAAUUUUGGGGUGUUUUAGAUCUAGUUUAUAGCUAGUUUUUGGGGUAUUUCAGAGGUGUUUUAGGCUGAAAUUUUGGGGACGGUUUUCUGUGUAGAACAGAUGUGAGUUUAUGGUGUUGCAUUUUUUCUAAGAAAUAAGAAGAAGACCAGCCGCAGAGAUGUUGCUCUUGGUCAAGACCGUUGUCUGGCAAGCCGAUCUUAAAGUAUAAUUAAG